rnacentral:rRNA from 1 species
AUUGAACGCUGGCGGCAGGCCUAACACAUGCAAGUCGAAUGGUAACAGGAAACAGCUUGCUGUUUCGCUGACGAGUGGCGGACGGGUGAGUAAUGUCUGGGAAACUGCCUGAUGGAGGGGGAUAACUACUGGAAACGGUAGCUAAUACCGCAUAACGUCGCAAGACCAAAGAGGGGGACCUUCGGGCCUCUUGCCAUCAGAUGUGCCCAGAUGGGAUUAGCUAGUAGGUGGGGUAACGGCUCACCUAGGCGACGAUCCCUAGCUGGUCUGAGAGGAUGACCAGCCACACUGGAACUGAGACACGGUCCAGACUCCUACGGGAGGCAGCAGUGGGGAAUAUUGCACAAUGGGCGCAAGCCUGAUGCAGCCAUGCCGCGUGUAUGAAGAAGGCCUUCGGGUUGUAAAGUACUUUCAGCGGGGAGGAAGGGAGUAAAGUUAAUACCUUUGCUCAUUGACGUUACCCGCAGAAGAAGCACCGGCUAACUCCGUGCCAGCAGCCGCGGUAAUACGGAGGGUGCAAGCGUUAAUCGGAAUUACUGGGCGUAAAGCGCACGCAGGCGGUUUGUUAAGUCAGAUGUGAAAUCCCCGGGCUCAACCUGGGAACUGCAUCUGAUACUGGCAAGCUUGAGUCUCGUAGAGGGGGGUAGAAUUCCAGGUGUAGCGGUGAAAUGCGUAGAGAUCUGGAGGAAUACCGGUGGCGAAGGCGGCCCCCUGGACGAAGACUGACGC